rnacentral:rRNA from 1 species
CAAAUUUAAAAUCUACCUGGUUUYCAGGUCGAGUUGUAAUUUGAAGAUACGUUUUUGACGUUCCGGGUUGAACUAAAUCCUUUGGGAUAAGGUAUCAUGGAGGRGUGAGAAUCCCGUAUAUACCAACCGUAGGGAUGUUAUUUAAUACGUUUCUAAGAGUCGAGUUGUUUGGGAAUGCAGCUYUAAAUGGGUKGUAAAUUUCACCUAAUGCUAAAUAUAAGCGAGAGACCGAUAGYGAACAWGUACAGUGAUGGAAAGAUGAAAAGAACUUUGAAAAGAGAGUUAAAUAGUACGUGAAAUUGUUGAAAGGGAAACGAUUGAAUGUCAGUCAUGCCGGUGGGAAUCAACUUAGAGGAAACUCUGAGUGCACUUCUUCGCUUGGCAGGUCAACGUYGAUUUUGGAUGUCAUAAAAUGRKKGGGGGAAGGUAGCUCCUUCGGGAGUGUUAUAGCCCUUGGUAGAUGUGAUGUCUGGGAUCGAGGAUUGCAAUGGAUACCCUKUGGGGCUAGCCGCCUGAUCUCUAAUUGGUAUUGGGUUACGGAUAAGCAUGCUGACCGUGAUCUAAUUAUUGGUUAAAAGGUUAG